GACGAACGCUGGCGGCGUGCCUAAUACAUGCAAGUAGAACGCUGAAGCUUGGUGCUUGCACCGAGCGGAUGAGUUGCGAACGGGUGGGUAACGCGUAGGUAACCUGCCUGGUAGCGGGGGAUAACUAUUGGAAACGAUAGCUAAUACCGCAUAAGAGUAGAUGUUGCAUGACAUUUGCUUAAAAGGUGCAAUUGCAUCACUACCAGAUGGACCUGCGUUGUAUUAGCUAGUUGGUGAGGUAACGGCUCACCAAGGCAACGAUACAUAGCCGACCUGAGAGGGUGGUCGGCCCAACUGGGACUGGGACACGGGCCAGACUCCUACGGGAGGGAGCAGUAGGGAAUCUUCGGCAAUGGACGGAAGUCUGGACGAGGAACGCCGCGUGAGUGAAGAAGGUUUUCGGAUCGUAAAGCUAUGUUGUAAGGGAAGAAAGAGUGUGAGAGUGGAAAGUUCACACUGUGACGGUAUCUUAACAGAAAGGGACGGCUAACUACGUG
rnacentral:rRNA from 1 species